AGCAGACAUUCCUGCGCCAAGAACCUGCAUACAAUCCAGAUAAACGUUGAUACAAAUCCAAGGACACUAGAAUCCUCAUUUUAGGUAAUCAUAGCAGCUGAACUUAUUCAUGAAAGUCAUAAAACUUUUAUAAGGCAUAGACACAGAAAUUUGAACACUAAGGUUAAGUUUCUGGUUCUCCAUUUUUAUGAAUGUGGCAACCUUGGAGAAGCAUUUAGCAGCCUAGGGCAAUGAACAAAGAUUUUCACCUCACAUGGGCUAAAUCACAAUGAAACUUGAAGCAUGAUCAGUCAGAUACAUGUUUAUGGGGUUUAUAUUGAUCAGUCACACAAACAAAAGGUGUCAACAUCAAUCAAGAAAUUGCUUUCAACUUAGGCACUGAUUUCUAAGUUUUUUAAGGUGACUAGGUGUUCCAGUUAUGGACAGGCAUUUUCUUUUCACCAAUUUCUAACUUUGAUAAAACAAUUGAUUAUUUUCUAAUUUCAAAAAAAAAUAUUAUCAGUUUAUAGAUGCAGCACCCUAAAAAAUUUAAAAAGGAAAAAAAAGAAAAACUAGAGAACAU
rnacentral:misc_RNA from 1 species